ensembl:lincRNA
AUGGCAUGCUUCGGCUGGGUGCAGCGGCUCACGCCUGUAAUCCCAGAACUUUGGGAGGCCGAGGCGGGCAGAUCACGAGGUCAGGAGAUCAAGACCAUCCUGUCUAACACGUUGUGGGGUCCCCCCCGGCGAUUUCGUCCUGAGCAGAUCCUGCAGCUCGGUAGGCUCUUAAUAGGUCUAGGAGAUCGGGAACUACAGGAGCUGAUCCUAGUGGACUGGGGAGUGCUGAGCACCCUGGGGCAGAUAGAUGGCUGGAGCUCCACUCAGGUAACACUUUUCCUCCUCCCUACGGCUUCCCAAACACCCAUCCCACAGACCCAGCCCUAUAGAUCAUCUAAAGCCCGAGGAAUUUUUUUCCUGUGACCCUACCUGGUCCUUCUUUCUAUCUUUUCUUGAUACCCCAUACUAGUGACCUUCAGGACUCUGAUUUAUUCACUCUGAGGCCCUGGACACAUAAUACUGUCUCCUACCUCUUUUCCUGGAGGCUUCCUCUUUUUCUAACCUUUUCUGAGUCCUCAGCCUUCCCCAUGACUCCUUAGGUCUUAAUAGUAACAGAAUAUAACCCGGUAACACCUACCACUUCCCUGUCCAUUAAUUCUCCAUAACUUUCCUCCUUCCCCUCUUCUCCCACCCCCCACCCCAGCUCCGCAUUGUGGUCUCCAGUUUCCUACGGCAGAGUGGUCGGCAUGUGAGCCACCUGGACUUCGUUCAUCUGACAGCGCUGGGUUAUACUCUCUGUGGACUGCGGCCAGAGGAGCUCCAGCACAUCAGCAGUUGGGAGUUUAGGUCAUUUGUGAAGGGGCUGAGGGUGGUGGUGCUGAGGUAAAGGUGGACUUACUGGGGAAAGGAGGAUCAUGAAGUUAUAGUCCCAUGGAGGAAGGGAACUCAUUUGAAGCCAUCUCUUCCUUUGUCUCAUGACCACAGCCCCUUUCACUGAAGCCGAAUUCUUCUUCCUUCCUUCCUACUGUUCUACAGCCAAGCGGCUCUCUUCCUCGGCACCCUGCAUCUCCAGUGCUCUGAGGAACAACUGGAGGUUCUGGCCCACCUACUUGUACUGCCUGUGGGUUUGGCCCAAUCAGUAACUGGGGCCUGAGAUCUUCACUGAAAUUGGCACCAUAGCAGGUGGGGAGCUGGGCCACUGCUGGUGCAAGUGGUUUGGUUCUAUACCAUGGGUGGACUGGAUGGAAGACUGCCCUGCAAUUCUUCAGGUGUGGGCCUGAGAGGGUGUUUAAAUAAGGGGCUAGAGACAUAGUUGGGGAAGGUCUAUGAUAGGGCACUUUGGGAGUAGUUAGAGAAGGUCUAUAGGUUUGAAGAGAGGGAAGGUCAGUCUAAGACAAUGUUUGGAUGCCACUUGCUUCAACAGCUGGGAUCCCAGACCUGGCUCUUUCAGCACUGCUGCGGGGACAGAUCCAGGGUGUUACUCCUCUUGCCAUUUCUGUCAUCCCUCCUCCUAAAUUUGCUGUAGGUAUUAAUGGACUGGGGUGACCACAGGAGAGCCAGGGCCCAAUGGGGACUACAUGCAUGCACUGAUUCCUACCCCUGCCCUCAGGUGGUGUUUAGUCCCAUCCAACUAUCUAGUCUCACCAGUGCUCAGGCUAUGGCUGUCACUCCUGAGCAAAUGGCCUUUCUGAGUCCUGAGCAGCGACGAGCAGUUGGAUGGGCCCAACAUGAGGGGAAGGAGAGCCCAGAACAGCAAGGUGAGUUCCCAGCUGCACAGCUUGAUCCUCCAUCUCCUGACCCAGAAUCAAACCCCUAAUUUGGUGCUGUCUGGCUCUUAGAGUGCACCCAGGGAGAUCCCUGGAGUGAAGGAGUCUACAGGCAGAGCGCUAAUUUCCAAGUAUCAAUGCUCCUGGAGAGCUGAGUUGUGAUAUUACUCCCAUUCCCUGUCUAUUAUAGGUCGAAGUACAGCCUGGGGCCUCCAGGACUGGUCACGACCUUCCUGGUCCCUGGUAUUGACUAUCAGCUUCCUUGGCCACCUGCUAUGAGCCUGUCUCUACAGUAGAAGGAGAUUGUGGGGAGAGAAAUCUUAAGUCAUAAUGAAUAAAGUGCAAACAGAAGUGCAUCCUGAUUAUUUUCAGAAGCUGAUGAGGAAUAUGGGUAAAAUGUUAAUGCUUUCCACCCACCUGAGAAUCAGUGUUCCUGGGUUGCCAUAUCUGGAGUCUCUUUCCAUCAUAAAUAAUCCCACUGCCUCUUUUCAUUUCCUGAAGGCUGCUCCCUCCUCACCCCACCAUUAGAAGUAACACAGACAGCUGCAGCAUAGCAAGGAGUCUUUACUAGGAUGGAGGCAGGGGAUGCGGGGGCAGAUCCAGAGCAAGUAGAAUGGGCCAUCAUUAGAAUGAGCAGAACUCCUGGGAAUCUUGAGUCAUCAGCUGGCGAUGGGGAGUUAAUGCUUGGUGUGGAUGACAGGUGUGGGGAUGCGGAUAUCCUGGCCUCUCUCCAGACGCCGUUCACAAUCAAUCAAAUAGUUUACUCCAUUGAUGACCAGUUGCACCAGCUCCACCUAAGGGACACUAAUCUUUGAUCUGCUUCCUACAGUCUGAGUUUUUCUUUAGCACUGACUGACUUGCCUGCUCAUUUCCAAUUGCCUCCCCACUCAACCUGAAUUUCAUUUCAGAUUAUGUUACAUCCCGGAGGCUCACUCACUGCCAUAUUUCGGCCCUCGCAGACCUAUACCUCUCCUCAUCCUAAUCCCUUAGGAUCUCACCUCUGAUUUGCCUAGUCGGUCCAAAUUAGAAAUAUCAAAGACACCGCCUGUGGCAGCAGUGUCCACUCCUCCAGUACCACGCUUUUGGAGUCUUAGGUUCUCCAGGAUCUUUGGGAAGCGGCUAUCCUAGAGAGGAGAUAGGGAUUGGGAGCAGGGUCAAUAAAGGCAGAGACUAGUCCU